UCUCAUCUCUCUCCUCUAUCGCUUUCUCUCUUUCUCUCCCUUCUCUGUAGGCCGUUCAAUCUCAAGUAGAAGAACAAUCAGAACUCCCACGACGACAAUCACCAACAAAUCAUCAACUAGGUAGGUCGUUGGCGAGGAACUCUAAGACGAAGUUAUUUGCCCCUCCUUCCGUUAGGAUUUAUGGCGGCCCUGGUUUUGCAGAUCGGCAGCAUAAGCUGCUUCCACGGGCUUCAUAAGUUUUUUAGAUGCGUAUUGUUCGCGUUAGGGUUCGUCGGAAUUAGGUGUCUUUUUUUUUUUUUAAAUUUAUAGUCUUUUUGAAUUGGGUUCAUUAUAGGUGGCAACUUAAGGAUUUUGUUGGAAUUGAGUAUGUGGAAUCAGGUGUUUUAUAGUCGUUUUUUAUAGGAUUGGGAGUUGAUUUUGGAACUGCAAGAAUGUUAGUACAGUUUGUGCAAAUGUAGUUGAUGUACUCCAAAUGUAUAAUUGG
rnacentral:lncRNA from 1 species